rnacentral:rRNA from 2 species
GUUUGAUCUCAAAUCAGGUAGGACUACCCGCUGAACUUAA